UCAGGAUGAACGCUAGCGGCAGGCUUAACACAUGCAAGUCGAGGGGCAUCGGGAGGGAAGCUUGCUUUCCUUGCCGGCGACCGGCGCACGGGUGAGUAACACGUAUGCAACCUGCCCUCUUCAGGGGGACAACCUUCCGAAAGGGAGGCUAAUCCCGCGUAUAUCGGUUUCGGGCAUCCGAGAUCGAGGAAAGAUUCAUCGGAAGAGGAUGGGCAUGCGGCGCAUUAGCUAGACGGCGGGGUAACGGCCCACCGUGGCGACGAUGCGUAGGGGUUCUGAGAGGAAGGUCCCCCACACUGGUACUGAGACACGGACCAGACUCCUACGGGAGGCAGCAGUGAGGAAUAUUGGUCAAUGGGAGAGAUCCUGAACCAGCCAAGCCGCGUGAGGGAAGACGGCCCUAUGGGUUGUAAACCUCUUUUGUCGGAGAACAAAACCCGGGACGUGUCCCGGACUGCGUGUAUCCGAAGAAAAAGCAUCGGCUAACUCCGUGCCAGCAGCCGCGGUAAUACGGAGGAUGCGAGCGUUAUCCGGAUUUAUUGGGUUUAAAGGGUGCGUAGGCGGUCCGUUAAGUCAGCGGUAAAAUUGCGGGGCUCAACCCCGUCGAGCCGUUGAAACUGGCAGACUUGAGUUGGCGAGAAGUACGCGGAAUGCGCGGUGUAGCGGUGAAAUGCAUAGAUAUCGCGCAGAACUCCGAUUGCGAAGGCAGCGUACCGGCGCCAGACUGACGCUGAGGCACGAAAGCGUGGGGAUCGAACAGGAUUAGAUACCCUGGUAGUCCACGCAGUAAACGAU
rnacentral:rRNA from 1 species